UUGGGCACAACCUGAAGACCCUCACAGUCACCUUCCCCAUCUCCACCCUCUGGUAUUCAUCAGACAGGAGCAAUGGCUCAGCCACGUUCAACUCCAUUGAGAUGGUCCUGCAGAGCCUGCUGGAUCUUUGUUCAAGAGGAGCAGCCUGGGUCCCUUCUACUCGAGUUGCAGACUGGUCUCCCUCAGGCCUGAGAAGGAUGGGGCAGCCACCAGUGUGACGCCGUCUGCACCCACCACCCUGAUCCCGUGGGCCACCAUGCCU